AUUGAACGCUGGCGGCAGGCUUAACACAUGAAAGUCGAGCGAGAGGCGGACGGGAGAGUAAUGUAUGGGAAACUGCCUGAUGGAGGGGGAUAACUACUGGAAACGGUAGCUAAUCCCGCAUACCAUCAGAUGUGCCCAGAUGGGAUUAGCUCGUAGGUGGGGUAAUGUCUCACCUAGGCGACGAUCCCUAGCUGGUCUGAGAGGAUGACCAGCCACACUGGAACUGAGACACGGUCCAGACUCCUACGUGAGGCAGCAGGGGGGAAUAUUGCACAAGGGGCGCAAGCCUGAUGCAGCCAUGCCGCGUGUGGGAAGAAGGCCUUCGGGUUGUAAAGCACUUUCAGCGAGGAGGCGUUACUCGCAGAAGAAGCACCGGCUAACUCCGUGCCAGCAGCCGCGGUAAUAC
rnacentral:rRNA from 1 species